GAUGAAGAACGCAGCUAAAUGCGAUAAGUAAUGUGAAUUGCAGAAUUCAGUGAAUCAUCGAAUCUUUGAACGCACCUUGCGCCCUUUGGCCAUUCCGAAGGGCAUGCCUGUUUGAGUAUCAUGAACACCUCAACUCUUUAUGGUUUUCCAUGAUGAGCUUGGACUCUGGGGGUUUUGCUGGCUCACAGUCGGCUCCUCUGAAAUGAAUCAGCUUACCAGUGUUUGGUGGGUAUCAUAGGUGUGAUAACUAUCUACGCUUGUGGUUUUUCCACCAGGUAACCUUCAGCAGUGGAGGUUCGCUGGAGCUCAUAGAUGUCUCUCCUCAGUGAGGACAGCCCUUUGAAUGUUUGAUCUCAAAUCAGGUAGGACUACCCGCUGAACUUAAGCAUAUCAAUAAGCGGAGGA
rnacentral:misc_RNA from 1 species